GAGCAAGUUAAAUGGGUGGUUUCUGCUCACCCAGAUAAGUGAAAAGAAUAAAAUUUUAUGAUACCAGAAAAAAUGAAAACAUUUCCAGCAAGAUCUGAAGGCACUACAGGAGGAGACUGAACAAAAAUGGAGAAAACACACACGAAACUGAUAUGAAGCACAUUUUUAAAAAUGGAUACUUAGUUGAAUAUAGCAUUCUGUAAUUAUGCAAAGUAAAAACAAAUCAAAACCCUAUACAUAGAGGCCAGGCACGGUGGCUCACGCCUGUAAUCCUAGUACUUUGGGAGGCCGAGGCAGGUGGAUCACCUGAUAUCAGGACUUCAAGAGCAGCCUGGCCAACAUGGUGAAACCCUUCUCUACUAAAAAUACAAAAAUUAGCCGGGCAUGGUGGCUCAUGCCUGUAAUCCCAGCUACCCAGGAGGCUGAGGCAGGAGAAUUGCUGGAGCCAGGGAGGCAGAGGCUGCAGUGAGCCAAGAUCAUGUCACUGCACUCUAGCCUGGGUGACAACGUGAGACUCCAUCUCAAAAAAAAAAAAAAAAAAAAAAAACCUAUACAUAGAAAAUUGCUGGGCAAGGAGUGACAGCUCACUCCUGUAAUCCCAACACUUUGGGAGGCAGAGGCCAAAGAAUUGCUUGAGCCCAGGAGUUCAAGACCAGCCUGGGCAACAUACUGAGACCCUAUCUCUACAAAAAAAAAAUAUUUUAAAUUACACUGGGUGUGGUGGCUUACACCUGUAAUCCCAGCACUUUGGGAGGAGGCCAGAGGAUUGCUUGAGCCCAAGAAUUCGAGACAAGCCUAGGCAACACAGGGAGCCCCUGUCUCUACA
rnacentral:lncRNA from 1 species